GACGAACGCUGGCGGCGUGCUUAACACAUGCAAGUCGAACGGUAAGGCUCCAGCUUGCUGGGGUACACGAGUGGCGAACGGGUGAGUAACACGUGGGUGACCUGCCCUGCACUUCGGGAUAAGCCUGGGAAACUGGGUCUAAUACCGGAUAGGACCAUGGUGUGGAUACUGUGGUGGAAAGUUUUUUCGGUGUGGGAUGGGCCCGCGGCCUAUCAGCUUGUUGGUGGGGUAAUGGCCUACCAAGGCGGCGACGGGUAGCCGGCCUGUGAGGGUGGACGGCCACAUUGGGACUGAGACACGGCCCAGACUCCUACGGGAGGCAGCAGUGGGGAAUAUUGCACAAUGGGCGGAAGCCUGAUGCGGCGACGCCGCGUGGGGGAUGACGGCCUUCGGGUUGUAAACUCCUUUCACCAUCGACGAAGGGUUUCUGACGGUAGAUGGAGAAGAAGCACCGGCUAACUACGUG
rnacentral:rRNA from 1 species